rnacentral:rRNA from 1 species
AGCGAACGCUGGCGGCAGGCUUAACACAUGCAAGUCGAACGGGCGUAGCAAUACGUCAGUGGCAGACGGGUGAGUAACGCGUGGGAACGUACCUUUUGGUUCGGAACAACCCAGGGAAACUUGGGCUAAUACCGGAUAAGCCCUUACGGGGAAAGAUUUAUCGCCGAAAGAUCGGCCCGCGUCUGAUUAGCUAGUUGGUGUGGUAACGGCGCACCAAGGCGACGAUCAGUAGCUGGUCUGAGAGGAUGAUCAGCCACAUUGGGACUGAGACACGGCCCAAACUCCUACGGGAGGCAGCAGUGGGGAAUAUUGGACAAUGGGCGCAAGCCUGAUCCAGCCAUGCCGCGUGAGUGAUGAAGGCCUUAGGGUUGUAAAGCUCUUUUGCCGGGACGAUAAUGACGGUACCCGGAGAAUAAGUCCCGGCUAACUUCGUGCCAGCCGCCGCCGUAAG